UAUCUGGUUGAUCCUGCCAGUAGUCAUAUGCUUGUCUCAAAGACUAAGUCAUGCAUGUCUAAGUAUAAGCCUUAUACAGCGAAACUGCGAAUGGCUCAUUAAAACAGUUAUAGUUUAUUUGAUAAUCGAAUUUACAUGGAUAACCGUGGUAAUUCUAGAGCUAAUACAUGCUGCAGUGCCCGACUUCGCGGAAGGGCGGUAUUUAUUAGAUAACAAGCCAAUAUUCCUUGUGUCUAUUGUGGUGACUCAUAAUAACUGAUCGAAUCGCAAGGCCUACGGCCGCGAUAAGUCAUUCAAGUUUCUGCCCCAUCAGCUUUCGAUGGUAGUGUAUUGGACUACCAUGGCGUUUACGGGUAACGGAGGAUUAGGGUUCGAUUCCGGAGAGGGAGCCUGAGAAACGGCUACCACAUCUACGGAAGGCAGCAGACGCGUAAAUUACCCAAUCCUGACUCAGGGAGGUAGUGACAAGAAAUAACGGACCCGUUAGCCUCCGGGCGGCGGGACUGCAAUGAGCCGAAUUUACACCCCUUAGCGAGGACCAAUUGGAGGGCAAGUCUGGUGCCAGCAGCCCGCGGUAAUUCAGCUUCAAUAGCGUAUAUUAAAGUUGUUGCAGUUAAAAAAGCUCGUAGUUGGAUUUCUGCGAAGCUUGCCAAUGGCCCCCGAAUGCGUGCGCACGGGCGCCCUCGCAUCCUUCUGGUAACGCCUUUUCGGGCAUUCACUUGCCGGUGGUGGGCUCAGAUAUUUACCUUGAG
rnacentral:rRNA from 1 species